CCUGACUCAGAGAGCAUGACCAUAUAUGAUAACUGGAUGAUUACAAAUAAAGUCAUCAAUAUUCAGAGGCUAAGUGGAGUGGAUUCUGAUUUUGCUCCACUUUUGCAACAUGCAGGGGUUCCUUCUGUUGAUUUAUACUAUGGAAGAGAUUUUCCAGUCUAC